AUUGAACGCUGGCGGCAUGCCUUACACAUGCAAGUCGAACGGCAGCGGACCUUCGGGUGCCGGCGAGUGGCGAACGGGUGAGUAAUAUAUCGGAACGUACCUUUCAGUGGGGGAUAACGUAGCGAAAGUUACGCUAAUACCGCAUAUUCUGUGAGCAGGAAAGCAGGGGAUCGCAAGACCUUGCGCUGAUUGAGCGGCCGAUAUCAGAUUUAGCUAGUUGGUGAGGUAAAGGCUCACCAAGGCGACGAUCUGUAGCGGGUCUGAGAGGAUGAUCCGCCACACUGGAACUGAGACACGGUCCAGACUCCUACGGGAGGCAGCAGUGGGGGAUUUUGGACAAUGGGCGCAAGCCUGAUCCAGCCAUGCCGCGUG
rnacentral:rRNA from 1 species